GACGAACGCUGGCGGCGUGCUUAACACAUGCAAGUCGAACGGAAAGGCCCUGCUUUUGUGGGGUGCUCGAGUGGCGAACGGGUGAGUAACACGUGAGUAACCUGCCCUUGACUUUGGGAUAACUUCAGGAAACUGGGGCUAAUACCGGAUAGGAGCUCCUGCUGCAUGGUGGGGGUUGGAAAGUUUCGGCGGUUGGGGAUGGACUCGCGGCUUAUCAGCUUGUUGGUGGGGUAGUGGCUUACCAAGGCUUUGACGGGUAGCCGGCCUGAGAGGGUGACCGGCCACAUUGGGACUGAGAUACGGCCCAGACUCCUACGGGAGGCAGCAGUGGGGAAUAUUGCACAAUGGGCGGAAGCCUGAUGCAGCAACGCCGCGUGCGGGAUGACGGCCUUCGGGUUGUAAACCGCUUUCGCCUGUGACGAAGCGUGAGCGGCGGUAAUGGGUAAAGAAGCACCGGCUAACUACGUG
rnacentral:rRNA from 1 species